rnacentral:tRNA from 1 species
GGGAAGGUAGCUCAGUGGUAGAGUGCUUGCAUUGCAUGCAUGAGGCCCUGGGUUCGAUUCCUCAGCACCA